rnacentral:rRNA from 1 species
GACAGAGGCCCCGAGCGUUAGGCGGAAUCACUGGGCUUAAAGCGUGUGUAGGCGGAUCGUUAAGUGUCUUGUGAAAUCCCACGGCGUCACCCGUGGAACCGCUGGGCAUACUGGCGAUCUUGGGCCAUUCAGGGGCAGCUGGAACAAGCGGUGGAGCGGUGAAAUGCGUAGAUAUCGCUUGGAACGCCAAAGGUGAAAACAGGCUGGCUGGGAAUGUGCCGACGCUGAGACACGAAAGCCAGGGGAGCGAACGGG